GGCAGGGGCUGUGUCUCCCCUUCACCCUGGAGCUGCCUCAGGUCGGGGCACUGUUUUCUCCGUGAGGCUGGAGGCUCGCUGAGAGAGACUCUGCUUCCUGUUGGCACUGGGGCUGUGGUCUGGCAGCCAGGCGCCUGGCCGCUCCCCACACCUCCCAGGAGGCCUGGUGCAGAGGGAGCGGGUCAUGUCCUCCUGCAACGCUCUCCAGCCACCCACCACUUGCCGGUGAGUCCACAGCUCCCGAGGCAGCAGGGCCACCCCUCUAUCUGAGCAGGGCCCCUCGGGGUGUGACCAGGCCAGGGGAGGGUCAGCUCCCCACAGGGGGUCUCCGCAGGGGCUCGCUGCCCUCCCCCAGCUCCACCCUUACCUACCUACUCUCCCCCAACUGUAAGCUCACUCAGCAGCCCAUGUCAAGGGAGACUGCUAAACGGGGCCAGGUGGGCGCUGGGCUGAAGCCAAAGGCCUACACUCAUCCUCAGGAGGGGCUUGAGCGCAGGACCAGGGUGGAAGAAGACGCGUGAGAGGCUGCCAGAACGGGGAGGGUCUAGAGCCAGGAGACAGAGCCUCUGUCCUCAAUUCCCGGGGGCCUCGGGCAGGCCCUUCCUUUCUAUCAGCCUGUUGACCCAUGAGGUGACGGGCCUGGGGUAGUCGCUGCAAUCCCUCUGGGCUUCACUUUUUUUUUUUUAAUUUUAAAAAAUUCCAACAGGGACAAUACAUCUUGGAAAACUGUAAGAUUAGGAGACCUCCUGUGAGAGCCCCAGGAAGCCCAAUGAGAGGAAACGCUGUGGAGCGUGGGGGAGGUUUGAAGCUGACACUGAGGAAGCCUUCCUGGGAAGGAGCUUGAGCCCCUGGACAAGACUGGGGUCACUGCUGUCCGGGGCUACAGCUGCCUGGGCAGCAGGAGGGACCUGUGAGCAAAGCAGUGUUGGGAGAUACCUCUGCCCUUGUCUCUGGGAUAGCAGGACUCUGUCCUGGUCAUGCUGGAUGUCCGAUCCUGGCCCUCAUGAGAUCUGACUUUUGACCUUUGGCUUAAUCAUAGACUGAGGUUGUUUGUCCAGUCACCCCACACCAUUAAGAUUGUGCGGAGCCCAGUGCUGGCUCCGGGCAGGGCGGGCAGUCUGUCUGAGGAGGAGACACAGCCUCUGCCCUCAGGAGCCCAGUGGAGGGGCAGUAGGCUCUCCCCCAGGGAAGAGACCUGUCAUAGGGACAAAUGACCUGGGAGGCAGGCGAACCCCUCACCCCUCCUCUAGGGGCAGCUGGAGCCUGAACUGCAUGUGAAUCUGAAACUAGAUCAGGGAAGAGCUGGCAGCAUGCCCGGCAGUGGCAGCAGUGCUUUGGGGAGCUGGUGGGGCUGAGGAAGCACCCGUGAGUCCCCCUGCCCUGGCCGUCUGCAGACAAGCCCUUGGGUGUAAGGGACAAAGGCUGGGUGGGAGAGUGCACACUAUGGGCAGAUGUUCAGGCCUGGGAGAGGGGCGUGCUGGGCUCUCGGUCCUCCAUGCUGGUGAGUGUGCUGCACGCAGAAGAUGCACGAGGCAUCAGUGAGGGUGUGUGGUGCAGGUGUGUGCACUUCUGGUGCAACACGUGUGGGUGAGCCAGGAUGCAGCCCACAAGGGGAGCAGGGAGACUGGGCCAGUGUCUGCCCCAUGAGGUCAUGCUGGGAAAUCUGCCCCUGCUUCCUGGACCUCAAGGCCCCUGCACACAGGGAGGGGUCGGCAGAGACCAGUGUAGGCCUCCCCAGCUCCAUCAGUCUGUGCUCUGAGCACCCGCACCUGGGGAAGCCCCAAGGGGCCCUGCCCGCCCACUGCCAGGCCUUCUGUCUCCCCUUGAUCCCUCGCCUUGGCGCCCCAACAACUGUGCCUGACCAGCGAAUGCAGACUGAGCCAGCUGUCGCUGUGACAUCCAUUCUCCUCGGUGGGCCUGGGUGCUCCCACCCAGCUCCCCUAGCUCCUCUCGCCCGCCUCCCUCCCUGCUACACCCACAUCUGGGAAUUAGGCAGGAUGACACCUAAAAGCCUCCAGUGGCCAUGGAAUCUCAUGGGGUUCUGAGCCUUAAUCCACGAGCUGGUCUCGAGAGACCAAGGUAACAAGAAGUUCUGCUCCCAGCACCCUCAGAUCCCCACUUUCUCUGCCCCGGGGCUCUGGGAGGAUUCCUGGGGCACCAGCCCAGAAGAGGAAAAAGGCGCCUUAUUUGCAUAUCACUUUCAUCUGAUUUGCACAUGCCUCCUGGUUUGGCCAUUUCUAAGCAACCCUAGAAUUUGGAUCUCACAGGAUGCUGAGCCGUUUCUAGGCGCUAGCUUCUCUCCAUCUCCCACAACCCAGGUGCCUCCUAAAGGACAGUCACAUGAGCGUCCCUGCAAAUAAUCCACCUGCCAAUGCAGGAGAUGCAGGUUUGAUCCCUAGGUCGGGAAGAUCUCCUGGAGAAGGAAAUGGCAACCCACUCCAGUAUUCUUGCCUAGGAAAUCCCAUGGACAGUAGAGCUUAGUGGGCUAUUGUCCAUGGGGUCGCAAAGAGUCAGACACAACUUAGUGACUAAAAGGACAUCAAAGCGCAGUCACACGCACGGAACUCUCCCUCCACUCAGCUGCACUUGCACGCAGGCGCAAGAGUACAGCAGCCUCCGCCAAAUGCAGAAAUGCGGAGUCCUGGGCCCCAGCCCUGUGCACCCUCACCCUUGGCCCAUGGAAUAUACACUGAAUACACACUCACAUGUGCAACUGCAUACUUCCGUCUUCACACGCACUCAAAACUCACACACAUUUGUCUACACACAGCCUCAGGGCACAAGCAAACACAACUCAGCUUCACAUAGGAGUUGGGUGGGUUACACACAGUCUCUGUGCCAGGGUGGGCUGCCAGUGAGGUGCCCUAAGCAACAGAUCCCACCCAGCCCCUGAGAUGGGCAGGACUGGCAAGGGUCCUGCUGUGUGACUGGCUGGGAGGAGACAGCGCAGCUCAGGUGGCUAUUGGUAGUGGUUUUACCACCAGCAGGUCCCUAGGAUACACAGUCAAUGUAGCAACCCUUUAGUCAGAGUUUUGUCUUCCCCGAAAUAUGGUUUCAUCCUGCGUUUUCUGUACCAUUUCUGGUCCCCCAACCCCAGGCCUCCUGCCCUUAUUGGUCCCCAAACAGCUUCCUUGGGUGGCCCUGCCUUCUGACUUUAUUCACCCUACUCCCUACCAAGAACACCUCCCUGCCUCCUCCAACGUGAACACCCAACACCUUCAUUCAUGCCCUCUUCCUGGGUGGGCUUCCUUCCCUGUUCUCUCGGCACACUUCUAUACAUCCUUCAAGUCCCACCUUGAGCGUCACCUCUUCGGUGAAUCCUUCUCCAGUCUUACCAGGCAGAAGUAAUCUCGCUCCUCACUCUGUAAAUCCAGAGGCAGAGCAGUGGGUAGAAAGACACAGUUGGCCCUGAAUAUCUGUGUAGAGGAUGUUUAGGGGUUCGGAGGCUUUAUUUGUAAGGAAGGGCAGGGGGCUUUUCAGAAAAACAUAAUUACAUGGUGAGUGUCUGGGUUUAAAUUAUAUUUGUGUUUAUUUUCGGGGAAGAGCAUAGACACCAUAAUCAGACAAUACUGCUUCUACCAUUUCUGCUGUGCAUCUUUGGCCCCGCACCCCUGAGAUCACUAACGUGGCUGAAGGAGCACUGUCUCGCCUUAUUGUUCUAAGGCUGUUCACUAAGCAGGCCAGUAUGUCAAUGAGUUGCUGGGGCAAGUAACAGCAACUUCAUCUGGAAAGCCAGCAGACCAAGGUGGUGGACCAGUGUCCCAAAGAACUGUCUGGCCCAGGAGACAUGGGUUCAAUCCCUGGAUUGGGAAAAUUCCCUGGAAAAGGAAAUGGCAAUCCACUCCAGUAUUCUUGCCUGGGAAAUCCCAUGGACAAGGGAGCCUGGCAGGGCUUAAUUUCCAAAUAUACAAACAGUUCAUGCAACUUGCAACAAUAACGAAAAACAUGAGCAACCCAAUCAAAACAUGGGCAGAAGACCUCAAGAGAUAUUUCUCCAAAGAAGACAUAUAGAUGGCCAACAGUCACAUGAAAAGAUACUCAAUCUUGCUAAUUAUUAGAGAAAUGCAAAUCAAAACUACAAUGAGGUGCCACUUCACACUGGUCAGAACGGUCAUCAUUAAAAAAUCUAGAAAUAACAAAUGCUGGGGAGGAUUUGGAGUAAAGAAAACCCUCCUACAUUGGUGUGACUGUAAACUGGCGUAGCCACUAUGGAAAACUGUAUGGAUGUUCCUCAAAAAACUAUAAACGGAACUACCAUAUGAUCCAGCAAUCCCAUUCCUGGGCAUAUAUCCUGACUAAACUAUACUCAAAGAGAAACAUACACCCUAUGUUCAUAGCAGCACGGUUCACAAUAGGCAAGACAUGGGAACAACCUAAAUGUCUAUCAACAGAUGACUGGAUAAAGGAGAUGGAAUACUAUCAGACAUAAAAAGGAAUGAAAUAAUGCCAUUUGUAGCAACGUGGAUGGACCUAGAGAUUAUCACACUAAGUCACAAAGACAAAUACCAUGUGAUAUCACUUAUGUGUAAAAUCUAUAAAGAAGGCUGAGCGCCAAAGAAUUGAUGCUUUUGAACUGUGGUGUUGGAGAAGACUCUUGAGAGUCCCUUGGACUGCAAGGAGAUCCAACCCGUCCAUCCUAAAGGAAAUCAGUCCUGAAUGUUCAUUGGAAGGACUGAUGCUGAAGGAUGAAUACUUUGGCCACCUGAUGCGAAGGACUGACUCAUGGAAAAGACCCUGAUGCUGGGAAAGACUGAAGGCAGGAGGAGAAGGGGAUGAGAGAGGAUGAGAUGGUUGGAUGGCAUCCCCGACUCGAUGGACAUGAGUUUGAGCGAGCUCCAGGAGUUGGUGAUGGACAGGGAAGCCUGGCGUGCUGCAGUCCAUGGGAUCGCAGAGUCCGACGCGACUGAGCGACUGAACUGAACUGGUGUGUAAACUCUAAAGUGUGACGCAAAUAAACUUAUCUACAGAACAGAAGCAAACUCACAGACACAGAGAACAGACUUGUGGUUGCCAAGGGGGUGGGGGAGAGACGGAUUGGGAGUCUGAGAUGUGCAGAUGCAAACUAUUAAAUACAGAAUGGAUAAGCAACAAGGUCCUCAUUGCAUAGCCCAGAGAACUAUGGUCAAUACCUGUGAUAAACCACAAUGAAAAAGAAUAUGAAAAGGACUAUAUAUUAUACAUACGCGUACAGCUGAAUCACUUUGCUGUACGCCAGAAAUUAACACGACAUUGUAAACCAACUAUAUUUUAAUAAAAUAAAUUUUUAAAAUA
ensembl:lncRNA